UUUUAGGUAAUUACCUUCUACCUGUCUGAUGUUCGACAUGCUUUUAGAGAGAAGAAGAGAUUUUCAGUGUUCUUUUUUUAAUUUACUGAAAGUGUUAAGUAGAAUAGGCAUUUCGGAGGCAACAUGAAUUAUUAAUUCUCUCAGAGUUUAUUGGAAUUUCAAAGUUACCGUGGUCGAAAUACCUGACUCGUUAUUUGAUAAACAUCAACAAAAUAUUUGACAUUUUUGUUUUUGUGGUAAUCAUGGCGGAUUUAUUUCUUUGUCUUUUUACAACGAUGCUUUUAGUGAGGACGAGCGUGGCAUCGUCUGCUUAUUAUGUGGACAAUGGAAUCGGACAGACGGAAAAAAUGCAUGAAAUGAACUCGAGGGACAAACGUGAACUCCAACAUGAAAUUCUUACAUUACUUGGUCUACACCAAAGACCGAAGCCGAAAUCUAGCACCACUAAGGACUCCGCUCCAACGUUCAUGCUGAGUUUGUACAAUUCUAUUACUUCAGAUAACGGUGUUGUGAAAGAUGACAGCACAUUUCACACCAGCCAUAAUGUUACAGUAGGCGACAGCGUGGUACAACCCAUUGAAGGAACAGACAUCAUCAUCAGUUUUGUAAAUAAGGCUAAAAAAGUUCCACAUCUAAGACAUGAAAAGGACAGGACGUUUUUCUUUGACUUUAGUGAUGUCACGGCCAAGGAAACUGUGGUCGGAGCAGAGCUGCGGUUAUACAAGGAAAAAUCCAAAAAAUGGAAGAAGAACCAUGAAUUCCAAAUCCAGGUCUUUAUGCUUAGGCAGGGAAAAGACCCUGAAGACAAGAUACUGGAUCCCUUAUCAAAUAUCACGGUUAAUGCUAAUACAGAAGGGUGGAUCACCUUUAAUAUGACACGGGCAGCGGAACUGUGGACCAGACAGCCAGAGGCUAACCUGGGCCUUUUCAUCAAAGUCUUGUUUGUCAGUAAAGGUCUGCAGAGAGAUUAACCCCAACAAACUUGGGAUCGUGAGUUACAGAGGGUCAGAAGACAAGAAGCCCUUCAUGGUGGGAUUUUUCUCCUCACAAGAACUGGUGUACCCCCAGAGAACACAGACAGCCCUGAGGCGGAGGCGAGAGCUAUACUCAUACAGGGAGGAGCAAGAGAAAUACACCGACUACAACCUCUCACGUCACAAGCGAGGGGCAUCAGGCGGAGGAAGAUGGCCAUGUCAACGACGAUCCUUGUAUGUCAAAUUCCGAGACCUUGGGUGGCAGAGUUGGAUUAUUGCCCCUGAUGGAUACCAUGCCUUCUUUUGUGAAGGAGAAUGCUCUUUUCCCAUUGGAAAUCAUGUCAAUGCUACCAACCAUGCCAUAGUCCAGACACUGGUCCAUAUGUACACCCCUUUCAAGGCCCCCAGCCCCGGCUGUGCCCCAUCCAAACUAAGUGCCCAGUCGGUACUGUAUUUUGAUGAUGAUGGCAAUGUUGUGCUGAAGAAAUUCCCAAAGAUGAUCGUUACCUCUUGUGGAUGCCACUGAGAAGCCUGCUAACUAGAUAUAAACUAGAUACACAGCAGGGCACUGUUAUAUGAACACAAUAUUUUAACCCCAUUCAAAAAUUUUAGGGGUACACAAAAAAAAAUCACCAUUCACUCUUUAGUCCACCUGUCUUUUGAUGCAUUAUUUGUUUUGCAUGGUGCACUGUGCCGUACCAUGGAAAUAAUCCAAUAACAAGGCAAUAUGAAGUUCUGGUUGACCUUGGCCUAAUUUUAAGGUUAGGUCGUGGUGGAUGUUUGUAAAAGUUUUUGUGUUGUAUUUUUUCUAUGCUAGUUUAUGCUGUGCUAAAAGUUUGCACUUUUUGGUAUGUUUUGCCUUUGGUUGACAAAUGUUAUUAACCAAGGAAAAUCAAUAAUGAAAUUAUUGGAACUGAGUGAAAUUCAGCACAUGGAUAUUGAAGGUUGUAUUGAUUUAUUUUGUUAAAGCCAAAGAAUCUCAUUUAUACAUGAACCCUGAAUGCCUCAUUAUAGACACAUUUAUACAUUGCAGCACUAGAGUGCCUUGCUUUUGAGCCAGUUUGGGGGUUUGACUAUUGCUGUAAACUUAUCAAAAAAUUGUGAGUGCCUUGUUGUAAAAUGACCACAUGUAGAAAAUGUAGCCCAAGCCAUACUGCUGCAAGCUUUACUAAGGCAUAUACAGUGUAUAUACACCAAAAGAGUUGAUUUUAACAUUGCUUUCAAAAGUUUAAAAUAAGCAUUUUUGUUCCUCUAGUGGCAAAUAGCUGCAAUACACGAGUCUUCCUUUUUCAAAUAUUCUCUUUUUUUACUAAUAUUUUUAUUGGUAGAGAAAAUCUGUAAUACAAAUAGUUAUUUUUUUAAAAAAAAUAAAAGUUAUACAUAUGACAGAAACAAAAAAUUUUUCCUCUCUAAAUUGCAAUUUUUUAAAGUUUUGAUAUUAAUAAAAAGUAGAAAUAUAGGAUACUCUUUGUGAAUAAGAUAUAUGAAAUAGUAGUAUUUUUUAAUAAUUAAAAUGUUAGAGUCUGAUGUAAUAUAUGCUUAGAGAUGUCUGAAUAUUUAGAUACUGAAAUAGGAAAUAAGUAUUAAAAGUACUUGUUCUAUAGACAAAUACGGCACCACUUAAUUUAGUCACAAACUAAAGAUACAUGACGUUGUUGCAGAAAAAGCCUAUAUCAUAUCAUACAAAAAUAACUUUGUACACUUUUGGGCAAAGAACAUUUACCUGGUAAUAGUUUCUUCAAUGAUGGCUGAGUUUAUCUCCAGUUUGCAAUCAUCAUAUUCAUCUCUUUAUUAUUUGGAUGAAGACAUUGUGUCCCAUUUGGAUGGUAUGUACAUGUAUUUAUAAAUUAUGUAAACAUUUAGAUUAAGAUUGACUCAUUUAUCAUACAAAAAAGUCUCAGAAGUUUCUAAAAUUAUUUUCCUUUUUUUGAGACAAUACAGACUGCUAAGUUCUAUUAAUUUGGGAUCCAAUUAAUUAUAACACUUGGCAAACGAGUUUAAACACCGAGAUGACAGUUUGCAGGCUGUUAUACCGAUGCCAUUGUAGUUUUUAAACAAAUUGCAAAAAAUUAUAAGUGACAUUUCUCGUCAGAAUGAUAAUGCUACAACUGUCCACCUACCAUAAAUCACCCCCUCUGUCAGGAUAAAAUUGAUGCGCAUAAUGUCUCUCAGAAUUCUUUGGAAAAUAAAGAGCCCCAAAAACAAGAAAGAAAAAGAUGUGUAUAUCAUUUUACUCACCUAGGGCUCAUUAAAUUUGGCUGAAUGGUAAACUCUACAUAUAGGUUUUUUUUUAUAAUAUAUAAAUUCUCCUUAAAAUUUAAUGGUUUACUUAGUUCUUUGAUUUACAGAGAGAGUUUUAAGUAUGAUGUACACUUUCUUAUGUUUACAUUGAAUUUCACUUAUUAGGGUCUAUUUUUGAUCCUGAAUACAUCAGUACAUGUACUUGUCUAUAUUGUAGAUUUCCCCCCAAUGAAUUGUGAUAGAUCUAUUGAUUUUUUUUCUCAUAUCAGAGAUCUGAAUUUGUAAUGUUUAUUGUACAAUGUAAUUUACACUUAAUAGAUAUAUUGUAUAAAUGUUAAUUCUGCAAUAAAAUAUUUGUCUGAU
rnacentral:misc_RNA from 1 species